rnacentral:rRNA from 1 species
GUUGGGAGCUCUCCCAUAUGGUCGACCUGCAGGCGGCCGCGAAUUCACUAGUGAUUAGUUUGAUCAUGGCUCAGGGUGAACGUUGGUAGUGUGCUUAACACAUGCAAGUCGAGCGGAAGAUGAUAGCAAUAUUAUCUUUAGCGGCGUACGGGUGAGUAAUGCUUAUUUGAUCUGCCAAUUAGUGGGGGAUAGCCAUGAGAAAUCGUGGGUAAUACCGCAUUUGUUGCGUAUUCGUUUACGUAAUGAAAGGAGGUCUUUAGACCUUCGCUAGUUGAUGAGAAUAAGUCGUAUUAGCUAUUGGGUGUGGGUAAAUCCCACCUAGGCAAUGAUGCGUAGCUGGUUUGAGAGAAUGAACGGCCACAGGGGAACUGAGACACGGUCCCCACUCCUACGGGAGGCAGCAGUGAGGAAUAUUCGGCAACGUGGGCAACCAUGGCCGAGCGACACUACGUGAAG